rnacentral:ncRNA from 1 species
GACAGGGAUAGGGGCAUGCCUGAAUCUUUAGAAAGUAUACAAGUGUUGAAAGAGUGAAGUCUGGGGACAACGGUAAACGUGAGGAAUUGCACCUCCACCCUACUAAAGAAGUUCGCAAGCAAGGGACAUUUUAGAUGAUCAACCACACUGGGACUGAGACACGGCCCGGACUCCCAUGAGGGGCAGCAGUGGGUAAUCUUGGACAAUAGGCAAAAGCCCGAUCCAGCAAUAUCGCGUGAGUGAAGAAGGGCAAUGCCGCUUGUAAAGCAGCUCCGAAUUGGAUCAGUUUCUCCUCAACGAAUAAGUGCUUGGGCCACUAAAAUCCUGCCUAAUGAAGAGAUAGUUGUGGAGAUAUAAAAACAUGAGUGGUC